rnacentral:rRNA from 1 species
CACGUAGGGCGCAAGCGUUGUCCGGAAUUAUUGGGCGUAAAGAGCUCGUAGGCGGUCUGUUGCGUCCGCUGUGAAAACUCGGGGCUUAACCCCGAGCCUGCAGUGGAUACGGGCAGACUAGAGGUAGGUAGGGGAGAAUGGAAUUCCCGGUGUAGCGGUGAAAUGCGCAGAUAUCGGGAGGAACACCGGUGGCGAAGGCGGUUCUCUGGGCCUUACCUGACGCUGAGUGAGCGAAAGCCAGGGGAGCAAACGGG